UUUGCUGUGUGCAUCUAGCAG
rnacentral:piRNA from 1 species